rnacentral:misc_RNA from 1 species
GAUGAAGAACGUAGCGAAAUGCGAUAAGUAAUGUGAAUUGCAGAAUUCAGUGAAUCAUCGAAUCUUUGAACGCACAUUGCGCCCUUUGGCAUUCCGAAGGGCACACCUGUCCGAGCGCCGUCGCACAACUGAGGCGCAGCCUUGCGUUGGCGGGCGACUUGUGAGUAGCGAGUCGCCGCCCAUACGAGACGGCGCCGCGCCGCGGCCGACGAAGCACGAAAGCGGAAGUCGACGCGGAGGCGGUUGCCUGUAGGAAGACACAGCUUGGCCUCGGAUCAGGUGGGGAUACCCGCUGAACUUAAGCAUAUCAAUAAGCGGAGGA